rnacentral:lncRNA from 1 species
UCCCUCGUCCGCUUCGGGAGCUUGGAUUUCCUCACCAUGGGGGAGGGAAUCGAGCUGAUCCCUCUUCUUGUCCUGCCCGCUCGCCCCGUCGUCCCCGGCUCUGCCGCCGGGAUAGUGGUGAGCGGCCGGGCGCGCGCCACGAGGCCCCCUUCGGAGGAGUGGCCCUUCAGGCUACGCAAUGCUGCGGUGACCCAUGGUCGCCUCCUGGCACGGUUCAUGACCGUGCCACCCAC